rnacentral:rRNA from 1 species
UGGGGAAUAUUGCACAAUGGGGGAAACCCUGAUGCAGCGACGCCGCGUGAACGAAGAAGGUAUUCGUAUCGUAAAGUUCUGUCCUAUGGGAAGAUAAUGACAGUACCAUAGAAGAAAGCUCCGGCUAAAUACGUGCCAGCAGCCGCGGUAAUACGUAUGGAGCGAGCGUUGUCCGGAAUUAUUGGGCGUAAAGGGUACGCAGGCGGUUUAAUAAGUCGAAUGUUAAAGAUCGGGGCUCAACCCCGCAAAGCAUUGGAUACUGAUAAACUUGAGUAGUGGAGAGGAAAGUAGAAUUCCUAGUGUAGUGGUGAAAUACGUAGAUAUUAGGAGGAAUACCAGUAGCGAAGGCGACUUUCUGGACACAAACUGACGCUGAGGUACGAAAGCGUGGGGAGCAAACAGG